rnacentral:lncRNA from 1 species
AGGAGGAAGAAGAAAGUGAUCUAUGAAAAUACCAGGGGUAUUUGAAGACCUCCCUGAGGAAAAGAAUUCAUCACUCUUCAAAUGUGAAGAGAACCUUGCUGGGUGCAGCUAUAAUUCCAAAGCAGGGAAAGUUGACAGGUCCCUGCUACAUUCCACCCAGGCUUGAGGCUAGGCCUUGGGGACUUCAAGACCAAGUGUGAGAUGCCUGGAAGAUUGUCCAUGGAGGGUGUCCUCACAGACCCCUAACUGAGCACAUCAUUCCUGAAAUUGACUCUCGCUUUCAGCGUUUAACAAGAGGUAGUGCACACCGAGGUGGGCCAAGGCAGAUUAUUGUUGAGAGUUUUUGAAAUAUGUAGUUUGUCACAGCAGGGACAAGGAUGUUGGCAGUUGGGAGGAGCCUCUUCAACAUCUGGAUCUGCCAAGAAAUCCUGCUGAGAGGGAACAGAACUGCUCUCAUGAAAGCUUUUGAGUGUGCAACAGUCGGGGCAGCUCUGAGCGUCUGUCCAGAGCUAAGGUCCAGGCUGGGGCUCAUGACCCGAGUACUGCAGCCAUCACACUGCAGUGAUGAGAUUCACACUUUUCAAAGAAAAGUUUUACUGUAAGUGCUGUGACACUUCUUACCAUUAUGUAUGGUAUUUGCACUUAUCUCUUCAUGCUUUGGUCAGUUCAAGGUGGCCCAGUCACUUUACUGUGACAUUUCAUAGCUAAACUUUAAACAAAAAUCAAUAAAGGGCAAGGAAUGGGUUUGUGAAAACAAUCAGAUACUUCCCUCAACUUAAUGGAAAAGUUAGUCAAAUCAGUUUGGCACUGGCCUCCUGAGCCGGUGGAGCCGAAGGACACUGGAAAACUUCAGCAGCGUCCUCAGAAACAGUUUCCUCCUGACCUCCAGCCCUUCUGUCUCCUCCUCUUCUCUCUGAAGGCUGAACAUAGAAGCUAAGAGCUCCUCUUCCCCAAGCAGAUCUCAGAAACUAGAGCCCUUCCCAAAGCCAGCAGAAAGACCUAGAAAGGAUCCUCUAGCCUCCUCCCCUUUCUGUGUAGGGGCUGGCUGGCAAUAAAUCCUCAGCUCCACCUUGCGUGAUGGUGGGAUAAGAUCCUCUUCCAGAACAGGCCCUGCCCCACAGCCAGGAGAAAGGAAUGGCCUGCAGAGGGACCCAGAGGCACCAAACAGGGGGUCCUGCUGAGUAUCUCCCAACCCCCAACUAGUCUCUUGCCUGGAGGUCAGAUCCCUUUUGUCUAAUCACAUUUCUACCCAGCCAUCCAUUCUUCAUUGAAGAACAAAACAGACAGUUAUCUCUGGAUCUUUAGGCCUUCAUUUCUGAAGGUUCCUGUGUCACCAAAAAAAA